rnacentral:lncRNA from 1 species
GCCAUAUCUCCUAAUAACACCUGAUCUGAUUACUAGAUAUUCUGAAUUAAAUUGUAUACGGGCUGAUUUUCAAUUCCUGUAUUAUUAUCAGAUACUUCCUGUGUUGAAAUGGUUGUUUGGACAGGCUUCACAAAUCAAAGCAUUGUGUAGUAUUAGGUACACUUCUUUAUGUUCCAAGAAAAGAGAGAAGCUCUUGAGCUUCAUGAGAUGGAGUGAAACUGGCUUAGUGAGACAGAAUCUGAGUUUUGACUUCUUAGCUGUCAUGAAAGUCAAACGCCACAAAUCACCUGAGGAAGAGCUGGAGAAUUUGGCACAAAUACGUUCUUUGAAGAACCUAUUGUAGAGCUUUAUGCAAGGUCUUUUUUUGAGAGAACAUCAUGGACUUUUCACAGGAGCUGAGAAGGGCCACAGGGGCAGGCCGAGAAGUUCCUUAUGAAGUGUGCAACACACCGGUUGGGAAAAUUGCUGUCCCUGAACAGACUUUUUCUGGAAAAGAAACAAGAGACUACCUGGAUGGACUAAACAACAGAAAGAAUCUGGAAGAAGGCUCUUUGUAAUAGGAGUCUUCUUGUCAUGGAUCAUCCUGAGACAGGUCUCCAGACCACACACAUUCUCCGCAGCAACUUGAGAG